rnacentral:misc_RNA from 1 species
CAGGGUGGCAGGGUUUGGCCAAGUAGUCAACAGUUGUCAUCCCCAUAUAUGUUACCUUCAGAAGUCACCAAUCAAGUGGCUAUUAUGAGAACAAAGAAGCGAAAAGUCACAACAUCUGAGCUUCUACCGUGGCAUAAAGAGGUGACUCGAGAUUCCAAAAGGCUUCAAAAUAUCAGUGUGGCAGAACAAGACUGGGCACAAGCCACAAACCGGCUGACUGAGAAGGUAGAAGAUGAGGUUGAAAUGAUUGAUGAUUUGCAGCCAAUGCAACGAUCAAAGAGAAGGCUUAUGUUAACAACACAGCUUCUACAGCAGUUGUUUCAUCCUCCACCAGCAUCCAUUUUAUCUGCAGACUCUGCUUCAAGCUAUGAUAUCAUAUCAUACUUCAUUUCUAGAUUAUCACUGGGAGAUGCAUGUAGCCUUGCUUACUGCUUGAGAAAUGAGUUUCUUGCGCUUGUAAACAACAGUAAUGUGAAUUCUGAAAGAAGAGGUGAACAACAAUUUUUGGCAGUUGUGGAAGAGUUCAUUGAUAAAGCGAAGAAACUGGAGAAUGACUUCCAAAGAUUGGACAAGACAGCAUCAGUUGUAGACAUGAGAGCAAGAGUUGGAAAGGUUUGCUGUCAUUAAUCGUUUUGCCAAAUUUCAUGUUCGGGGACAAAUAGAUGCUUCUGGAACCUCAACUUCUGGUUCUCUGAAGCCAAUUCCGCAGAGACACAUCACAGCAUUUCCUAUGCCUCGAAAUCUACCUGAGGGGGUACAAUGUCUUUCACUGUGACUAUCAACCAUUUAUCACAAACUGACUCUUCUCUUCUUCUGCAUUCUGCAUUCCAUAGUGUUACCUGUGCCCUUACCGACAUGACUUUGUUAACUUGAAACACUGGCAUGCGAGGAGUGAUGCAAAAUGAAAUGGACAGAUCAACUCCAAGUAACCAAGGCCGCAUAUUCAUUUGGAAUUAAGGUCAUUGAUUGUCAUUUUUGAGAAAGUAUAUAUUGUUUCUUGUAUAUGUUAAUGAAAUUGCAAGGAGAAUAGGGAGUAUUCAAAUUAACUUUUUAUAGAGCUAGAGGAUCAGUAGCGUGG